AACUAACCUGUAAGGCUUGUCUGGUUCCAGGACAGGUAAAAUGGGGGAAUUGUAAGGAGAGUUUAUAGGCUUUAAAAGGCCAUGCUGUAACAGGCAAGUGAUAACAGGCUUUAAUCCUUUUAAAGGGUGCUGUGGGUUGGGAUAUUGGCAUUGAGUGGGGUAAGGGUGAUAAAAGGAUUAUAGGGGGAGGAGCAGAGGCUUAGGAAGAAUUGGGACCUAGCUCGGCCUGGCGAGGAGGGGAGAGGUCAGAUGGGUCUGUAGGAAAGGAAGAUUAGAAAGACUCAGUAAUGC
rnacentral:lncRNA from 1 species